rnacentral:rRNA from 1 species
UACGUAGGGGGCGAGCGUUGUCCGGAGUUACUGGGCGUAAAGCGCUUGUAGGCGGUCCACCAAGUUUGGGGUGACAGUUGCCGACUUAAUCGGCAAAGUGCCUCAAAGACUGGAGGACUUGAGGGCCACAGAGGGACAUGGAACUCCAGGUGUAGUGGUGAAAUGCGUAGAUAUCUGGAAGAACACCAAAGGCGAAGGCAGUGUCCUGGGUGGUCGCUGACGCUGAGAGGCGAAAGCCAGGGGAGCGAACGGG